rnacentral:rRNA from 1 species
GAUGAACGCUGGCGGCGUGCCUAAUACAUGCAAGUCGAGCGAACAGACGAGGAGCUUGCUCCUCUGACGUUAGCGGCGGACGGGUGAGUAACACGUGGAUAACCUACCUAUAAGACUGGGAUAACUUCGGGAAACCGGAGCUAAUACCGGAUAAUAUAUUGAACCGCAUGGUUCAAUAGUGAAAGACGGUUUUGCUGUCACUUAUAGAUGGAUCCGCGCCGCAUUAGCUAGUUGGUAAGGUAACGGCUUACCAAGGCAACGAUGCGUAGCCGACCUGAGAGGUUGAUCGGCCACACUGGAACUGAGACACGGUCCAGACUCCUACGGGAGGCAGCAGUAGGGAAUCUUCCGCAAUGGGCGAAAGCCUGACGGAGCAACGCCGCGUGAGUGAUGAAGGUCUUCGGAUCGUAAAACUCUGUUAUUAGGGAAGAACAAAUGUGUAAGUAACUAUGCACGUCUUGACGGUACCUAAUCAGAAAGCCACGGCUAACUACGUG